GUAAUUUUGGGUAAAUUGUCGAUGAGUUGAACUGAAAACUUGGGUGUUGGAAGCUUAGGUGCUUGAGAUGUCGUCCUCUUCACAAACAUCAAGUUGGAGUUCCGGUUGGAAUCAUAGGGAAUAUGUUAUAUGCGAGUUCGUGCUGAGAUUGGGACGUCCAGGACUGAAACUAAUCCCGGUUUACGAUUUUAUCGUUGUGCUUCUUGGAAGAACGAUGACUGUAAAUUCUUUCGGUGGAUUGAACCUUCUUCUCCGUUAAGCCUACACAUUGAACUUAAGACGAUCCGGGUAGUAAGAGACCAGUUUGAAGAAAAAUGGAGAUGUCAAUACUUGGAGGCUAUCUCCCUUGAAGAGAAAUUGAAUGCAAAGAUCGAAGAGUGUGAAUUGAAGAAAGAAGAGUGUGAAUCCCUUCAAUUAAGGAUUGAAAAAUUAGGGAAGAAGGUGCUAAAGUUACAGAUAGUGAUCAUGCUGAUGUGUGUGAUAAUAUUUGUCCUAGGUUGGUAAUGUUUAUGUAUGAUCUUUUCUUUUGUGUUUGGUAAUGUUUAUGUAAUGGAUGAUGGUGAAUUUGUAGGCUUUUGGUACCUUAGUGUGGGAUGUUAAUGUUAUGUAUGUUUAUGUAAGUAAUGGAUGAUGGUGAA